AAAAAAGCGUUGAAAAGGAUAAGUACUUUACUUAGGUUACUAAAGCGAUUAAGGGAUGGUGCGAGCCUUAUAGGGAAGAGUAAAGAAAAAUCACCUUGGAGCAUGGUACUGAAAUUUUAGUAAGUGGCCACGUAGUUCUACGUUACAGAAUAGUGCAUGAUUGUGCAUGAAUUAAACACAUAUUAGGUGGUUACGAGUGUAAUACUUCGUCCUUUUA
rnacentral:ncRNA from 1 species